rnacentral:lncRNA from 1 species
AUUAACAUACAAAUUUUCAACCAUCUUUUGUUUAUGUUAACAUGUUUUGACGACUUAUAGAUUCCCAUUCAUGCAUUUUCCUAUAAAAUCCUUACAUUCUUGCGCCAUCGUUCAAUGAUGUCAUUUACACCUUCUGAAAUGAGGUAAAUUGUUCAUUUAAAGCAUAUGAAGUUGAAAUAGGAUUGGAACAACCAAAACAAAUCAUGACAUUGCCUAUCAUCUGACAAAAAAUGUAUAAAUUUAUUCGAAUUUUAUGUGUACUCGAAAGCGUUUGAACAACGUAAUAUUAUUAGACAUUGGAUAAAAUUGGGAAUGGAAAUGGGAAAUGUCACAUUAUGUGUCAAAGAGACAACAACCCGACCAAAGAGCAGAUAACAAACGAAGGCCACCAAUGGGUCUUCAAUGAAGUGAGAAAUUCCUACACCCGGAUGUGUGCUUCAGCUGGCCCCACAACAAAAAUGUAUAUAGUUCAGUAAUAAUGGACGUCAUACUAAACCCCGAAAUAUAAAAAGAAUCUAAAAUUAAAAAUCAUACAAGACUAACAAAGAGGCUCCUGACUUGGGACAGGCGCAAAAAAUCUUUAAAAAAGACUCUUUAAAAUAAAAUAUUCCACUGUUUAAUCUUCAAUGUUUUAUUUGAAAGAAGCACAUGUACAGGUGUAUCAUUGAACAAGUGCUUGCAUAAAUAAAGCAUAUGGACAUAUGUGUCCCUUCGGCUACCAGGUUAAAGUCCAGUUUCAAAUUAAAUGUAUAUUAAUGAGAACAUUACAAUAUAGAUAUAGAUCCUGCUUCGCACUUGACCAACACCCUGAAACGAAAUUUUAACAUGCAUGUUACAGUCUGCACUGUUAGACACUAGUCCGAUGACCCAGACUAGAAAAAUGUUAUCCAGAGAUUCCAGACUAGUAAGAAUUUGCAAAACUUUGUUAAAACCUAUAAUAAAAAGGUCUUAUAAUAUAUUGGUGUUCGGAUAAGUAAUUUGAAAAGAUUUUGGUGCAGACUGAAUUGUAAUAAACAAGGUUACAGAUAAAAGAAAGACAUGUCAACCUACCUUUACACAUUUUCAUUAUUAAGACGCUGAGCUGAAUCUUCUCUUACUCCUCAAUGCCUCAACCUUUCCCACAGGAGAGCACAAGACCAACAAGGCAGGUACAUUAGAGAAAAGAAAAAAAAGCCAAUUGCCAAACUUGUCUGACCGGUUAGAAUUAGUUUAAUGGCGCCAAGCCCUCCCCCUAACCUGCGACAGUGGUUUAACGGAACAACAGAACAAACUAUGCAAAACAAUAGAAUCAUUUAUAAUAAUUAUAUGGAAAAUUGCAUUGUUAGCGCUCCCAUGUGUACAAUUCUUGCCAGAACUUUCUGAAACUUAUAAAAAAAUAUUAUACUAUUAGGUUUAUACAUGUAUCAGCAAUGAUUUGAUACUUUUAAAAAUAAGUUUUGGUCAAACAUUUUUAAUGAGUUAUGUCCCUUGGAAAUAUAAGUUAUAAUGGAAACCAUGAAACUACAGUGCAUUUGCUCUUAAGCCUUCAUUUAAUAAAAAUUCUUAUAGAACAAAAAAAUGCUUCUAAUUGUUUAGUUAUUGCCCUUGUACAUGUACAUAUCUUUGGGUUGAUAAAUAUGUGCAACACAGGGACAUUGGAACUUUGUUCUUUAUUUGAGAUUGGUGAAUGCAGACUUACUUUUGGUUUUAAAUUUUGUUGUGCAAGGGUAAUUUCUGCCCAUAUUUAAUUUAAUGUACGUUUAUUUCAAACAUUUUCCUUCAAUAAAAACCUUGAGGGAUAGAAGCAAUUUCAACCUAGGGGUUGGAAAGUUGUUAUAUUAUCAUUAUUUUAUGCAAUCACCUAAUCUUUCCCCCAGGAGUGAGAAGCAAAGAAAAAUUUUUUAACAGAUUUGAUCAUUUCCAUUAAUAUUUAUAUUAACCCCUGUAUUAGGCUGAAAACAUAUGAUCACAUCGAUCACCAUACUUAAAAGUUGAGAUUUACGUCAAUCCACAAAUUGAAGUGUAUGUUUAGUGUGCAAGUAUGACGACCAUAUCUGUCAAGAAAUUAUUUAUUUAAAAAACACAUAAGUUGGGCAUGAUUAGUCAACUUAUCUCAAUAUCUGUUAAAAAAAAAGACUCUCAAUUACAAAUACACCAUUAUAAACAAAAGAAGAGAAAUCCAAUUCAAAAUAUUGCCUCCUAGACUAGUAAUGUGUCCCAUUGCUAGAUUCAAUAUUAAAUGCAAAAGUUAUCUGACCAUUACCUUUCAGUGCUCAUAAGCACUUUGAUACCAUAAAAAAAGGAAGUUUCUAACAAACUAAAGAAUAAAUUUAAACUUGAACUAGUC